rnacentral:rRNA from 1 species
GACGAACGCUGGCGGCGUGCUUAACACAUGCAAGUCGAACGGGAAGGCCCUGCUUUUGUGGGGUGCUCGAGUGGCGAACGGGUGAGUAACACGUGAGUAACCUGCCCUUGACUUUGGGAUAACUUCAGGAAACUGGGGCUAAUACCGGAUAGGAGCUCCUGCUGCAUGGUGGGGGUUGGAAAGUUUCGGCGGUUGGGGAUGGACUCGCGGCUUAUCAGCUUGUUGGUGGGGUAGUGGCUUACCAAGGCUUUGACGGGUAGCCGGCCUGGGAGGGUGACCGGCCACAGUGGGACUGGGAUACGGCCCAGACUCCUACGGGAGGCAGCAGUGGAGAAUGUUGCACAAUGGGCGGAAGCCUGAUGCAGCAACGCCGCGUGCGGGGUGACGGCCUUCGGGUUGUAAACCGCUUUCGCCUGUGACGAAGCGUGAGUGACGGUAAUGGGUAAAGAAGCACCGGCUAACUACGUG